rnacentral:misc_RNA from 1 species
CUGAGUUGCAAAACUCUCAACCCUUCUGUGAACCUACCUUUUGUUGGCAUGUCCCAAGUUGUUUCGGCGGGUAUGGGCUUCGGCCCUGCCCGCCGGCAGCCUGGGAUAUAUUUUAUAUUCUAUGUUUUUUAGUGGUUAUCUGAGUAUCAUACGAAAUGUCA